rnacentral:rRNA from 1 species
AGCGCAACCCUCGCCCUUAGUUGCCAGCAUUUAGUUGGGCACUCUAAGGGGACUGCCGGUGAUAAGCCGAGAGGAAGGUGGGGAGUGACGUCAAGUCCUCCAUGGCCCUUACGGGCUGGGCUACACACGUGCUACAAUGGUGGUGACAGUGGGCAGCGAGCACGCGAGUGUGAGCUAAUCUCCAAAAGUCAUCUCAGUUCGGAUUGCACUCUGCAACUCGAGUGCAUGAAGUUGGAAUCGCUAGUAAUCGCGGAUCAGCAUGCCGCGGUGAAUACGUUCCCGGGCCUU